CAAAAUUUAUUUAUUUAUUAUUUUUAUUUAUUUUUUUUUUUGUGAAAUUGUGGAAAAUACAUAUAUAUAUAUAUAUAUUGCGAUUUUUGAUGGCUCAGGACCAUUUCGAAGCUCGAACACAUUGAAGACGUUGGAGUUAUAAAUCAGCAUACUACCAUACAUAGAUCGGCAUCGAUGCACCACUGACAAGUUACUACACAAACCACAUUUGUUGUGUUCUUAAUGGUUGACAAUAAGUGACACAGGUCUUUACCACAAUCCUUGACUAGAUUGAAAAUGAGAGGGGUCUUUCGCGACGACAAACACUUUUCCGCCAUUCAGUGUUGAACAAUAACUCGAUACUGUUGUUUAAUGGUUUUUGGAUUCCCAUUCAGCGUUGAAUCCAGUGCAGAAGAAAUGCCAAAAAAAAAAAAAAAAAUAAAAUCAAAUCUGAAAAAAACUUCUUCUCUGCUAUAUAAAGCAUGAGAAGAACAUUGCUGGGCAGAGCUUUAAAAAAAAGAACAGUUACUGAAUUAUGUAUUUAGUGUGAGUGGCACUUGAAGUGCGACUCGAACUCAUUGUUGAAUUGACUGCAGAAGAAAUGUAAAAAAAAGUAAAA